UUACCUAUAAUAUCUUACUAGACUGUCUUGAGAUGAGUGGGAGAACUGCGGAAGCAGUAGAUCUUUAUACAAAACUAAAACAACAAGGCUUGACACCAGAUUCCAUAACCUAUGCCAUUCUUGAACGGUUACAAAGCGGUUCACAUCAGAAAGUUCGAAUUCGGAGGCAACAUCCAAUAACUGGUUGGGUUGUCAGCCCAUUAGGGUGACAAAGACAAAUCCCUCUCACAAUGUUUAUGAGAAGUAGCUGCCAGUUAUGCCCCUAAAGAGAUAAUCAUCUGUGGCAUAACCAUAAGGAAGAAUGAAUGGUCGUUUCAGUGGCACAUAUGAUGGACAUGUGAUGUUACGGCUGGACCCUAUUUCAACCAUCGUGCCUCGUGUCUGGGACACACAGCACACUUACUGACCCUUGAUUCUGAUAUCUGGUUUAUUGUUUUGUGUUAACUUGUGACAGUAUUCAAGUAGUUAUUGACGGCUGUGGCAUAGUCAGAUUUGCAAUUGUAUUGCUUUGCAUAUGAAUACAAAUAUGAAUGCAGAGGAUGUGCAACUUGAAUGCAUUAUUUACUAUUUAGGCCGGCAGGAAAAUAUAUUUUCUUCAUCAUCAAUGGCCAAAGCAUGCACUUUUCUCUCGGGUUAGGAAAUAGAAAACGAGACGAUACUGAACCAAAAUAAAGGCGGAAGAGCCAUUUGAAAGAUCAGAGCAAGUUGGCAUUUUUUUUCUUCUUUUACUCGAUUUUUCCCCAGUUGUAUUCAUCAUUUGUUAUAUAUACCUGGACGGUUAGUAACCAUCUUUAAUAACCACGUGUUGUAUUGAUUAUUGUACCUUGUUUAUCAACUGUUAUUAACUCUUAUUGCUACUCUUCAUUAAUGGAUUUUGAUCAUCAUGGAAAUUUAUUGUGCUUUAUAGUGGUUAUAAAUGUGUCAGGAAAGUUAGUCUUUUGCAAGUUUUAAAUGACAGUUGUAAGCUAUCAUGAAAACUUUCAACAACAUAGGUUAUCUAUGUUGUAGAUGUGGGAAAAAAAAAAAAAUCUAGAUGACUCUUGUGUUUACUUCCUAUGAUGAUAGCUAAAGAUUCUUGAUCAUCUGCUUAGAUUGUCAAUUUUAGCUUUCAGUGAUUGGUAUCUGUUCGCCAAAUUGGAGUGCGAAUUUGUAUUGCUCAUUGAAAUUAUAUUCAUCUCUUGUGUCUUCUUAAAGUUUUUGUGACUUAUUCAGAAAUUGGUUUCUUCAUAAUUAUAUUAAAUUUUUGUGAAGGAAAUUAUUUUUUUCAGUGUAAUUUACAUAAAAUUGUCAUUUCACAAGUUUAACUCUUUUGCUGAAUGUUGCACAGCACACAGGACUUUAGGCUGCAGACAUCCGUUAUGUGAAGAGUAAUUUUGAUUCUAUUGAUACCAACAUGGCUUCAAAGGAGAGGCUCGACCUGAUUUAUGCCACAGUCAAGUGGAACCUUGAGAUCAGAUGGUUUUAGAGUCUCCCAUAAUCCUAUACUUUCUUCAGGACAGCAGUUCCAGUGCUGGUAGGCUAUCUAUCUGGAUCAUUGAACUUGAUGUUAGCAUCUACUUUAAAAUUUUACCGAUGUUACUUGAAUUUAUUAUAUUUCCUGUAUAUUUUGAUAGUCAGCAGCCUAGUUUCCUUGUAUACGUUAAAUUUAAUCAAGAAAGGUGAAAAAUAUUUCAAUAUUGCUUGGUUCUGUUUA